CUUGUAGGCGGUUCGGUAAGUCGGGUGUGAAACCUCUGGGCUCAACUCAGAGACGCCACCCGAUACUGCUGUGACUAGAGUGCGGUAGGGGAGCGGGGAAUUCCUGGUGUAGCGGUGAAAUGCGCAGAUAUCAGGAGGAACACCAGUGGCGAAGGCGCCGCUCUGGGCCGUAACUGACGCUGAGAAGCGAAAGCGUGGGUAGCAAACAGGAUUAGAUACCCUGGUAGUCCACGCCGUAAACGUUGGGCACUAGGUGUGGGUCUCAACCAACGAGAUCCGCGCCGUCGCUAACGCAUUAAGUGCCCCGCCUGGGGAGUACGGCCGCAAGGCUAAA
rnacentral:rRNA from 1 species